rnacentral:misc_RNA from 1 species
UACAGAGGGUGCGAGCGUUAAUCGGAAUUACUGGGCGUAAAGCGUGCGUAGGCGGUUUGUUAAGUCGGAUGUGAAAUCCCCGAGCUUAACUUGGGAAUUGCAUUCGAUACUGGGAAGCUAGAGUAUGGGAGAGGAUGGUAGAAUUCCAGGUGUAGCGGUGAAAUGCGUAGAGAUCUGGAGGAAUACCGAUGGCGAAGGCAGCCAUCUGGCCUAAUACUGACGCUGAGGUACGGGGACAUGGGGAGCAAGCAGA